rnacentral:rRNA from 1 species
UGGGGAAUAUUGCGCAAUGGGGGGAACCCUGACGCAGCCAUGCCGCGUGAAUGAAGAAGGCCUUCGGGUUGUAAAGUUCUUUCGGUAUUGAGGAAGGUUGGUGUGUUAAUAGCACAUCACAUUGACGUUAAAUACAGAAGAAGCACCGGCUAACUCCGUGCCAGCAGCCGCGGUAAUACGGAGGGUGCGAGCGUUAAUCGGAAUAACUGGGCGUAAAGGGCACGCAGGCGGUUAUUUAAGUGAGGUGUGAAAGCCCUGGGCUUAACCUAGGAAUUGCAUUUCAGACUGGGUAACUAGAGUACUUUAGGGAGGGGUAGAAUUCCACGUGUAGCGGUGAAAUGCGUAGAGAUGUGGAGGAAUACCGAAGGCGAAGGCAGCCCCUUGGGAAUGUACUGACGCUCAUGUGCGAAAGCGUGGGGAGCAAACAGGAUUAGAUACCCUGGUAGUCCACGCUGUAAACGCUGUCGAUUUGGGGAUUGGGCUUAAGCUUGGGCCCGUAGCUAACGUGAUAAAUCGACCGCCUGGGGAGUACGGCCGCAAGGUUA